ACGCGGCAGCCGAAGCCCUUGAGCACCCCGGCCGUGGCGCGGCCCAUGUUGCCGACGCCCAUCACGCCCACCGUCAGCUGCGCCAGGCCGCGGUACUCCUGGAAGUGGCCCCAGCCGCGGCAGUCCUUGCUCAGCUGCUUCAGGUAGAUGGGGCGCCAGCCGCGCUCGUGGCACAGGAUCUGGCCCACCACGUGCUCGGCCAUGAGGGCCGGCGCGGCGUCCUCGGUGCUGCGGGUCACAACGAAGGGCGGCUCAGACCCCAAGGCUUCCAUCAAAUCGUCGACGCCCACUGCCAUGCAGUGCACCCACCGCAGCCUCGUGAGGGAGUCCGGACCCUUGCGUUUCAGUAUCUGAACGAAGGUAGACGAGUGGGUCAGCAGUAUCUCUGCGUCCGCGACGAGGUCCAGUUCUUCAUCCGUCAGUCUUCUGCUCAUCUUUUUAAAAAUUUCUCCGUCGAAACCCAGGUCGGUGGUGCGAACGUUGACCACCUUCGUCCCCGGCAGCCUGCUGGAGAUGGCUUCGUCAAAGCCACGCAGGAUGGUGAGGACGUGGACGGUGUGCGUCGAGGGCGGCGUCAUGUUGCUAACUGACCGGUGGCCGAGUGCACGGAGUCUCGGGUUAUCGACAUGACUCCACACGCUGAGGCCUGUUAACGAGCGAUAGUACCAAACAGAGUCGUAAUCAUGAGUUAAGAGUUGUGGGGCUGGGAAUGAUAGAAUGUGUGUGUGUGUGUGUGUGUGUGUGUGUGUGUGUGUGUGUAGGUGUUUGUUUGUUUGUGCCUGGAUAGAAAGGUGGAUUGGGGCGGGGUUGGGCAGUAGACACGUGCGUGCGGCUGGUAAGAGUGGUUGUCCCGUCGACCAAGAGGCUUCUACUAAUACAAUAUCUAUUUUCCUCAUCCU